rnacentral:rRNA from 1 species
AACGAACGCUGGCGGCAUGCCUAACACAUGCAAGUCGAACGAGACCUUCGGGUCUAGUGGCGCACGGGUGCGUAACGCGUGGGAAUCUGCCCUUGGGUACGGAACAACAGUUAGAAAUGACUGCUAAUACCGUAUAAUGACUCCGGUCCAAAGAUUUAUCGCCUAAGGAUGAGCCCGCGUCGGAUUAGCUAGUUGGUGAGGUAAAAGCUCACCAAGGCGACGAUCCGUAGCUGGUCUGAGAGGAUGAUCAGCCACACUGGGACUGAGACACGGCCCAGACUCCUACGGGAGACAGCAGUGGGGAAUAUUGGACAAUGGGCGAAAGCCUGAUCCAGCAAUGCCGCGUGAGUGAUGAAGGCCUUAGGGUUGUAAAGCUCUUUUACCCGGGAUGAUAAUGACAGUACCGGGAGAAUAAGCCCCGGCUAACUCCGUGCCAGCCGCCGCAGUAACAC